GGAAAAAUAGCUCGGUGGGAGAGUGCUUGCUUAGCAUGCACAAAGUCCUGGGUUCAAUCCCCAGUACCUCCA
rnacentral:tRNA from 1 species